AAUAAAUUUCUCUGUGUUUGGGAAAGUGGCAUGACUCAGGAAGGUUUCACAGAGGAUUAUCACCUCUGUGAAGGUCCCUUGGAUGGGACCAUACAAGGCUGACUACAAGGGAAACGUGAAUAUAUUUCUCUGUGAGUAGAGAAGUAAACCAAAUUAUUUGGCUGGAUUAUGAAGAACAAUAUGUUUUCUCAACAGGCAAGGUAAGAAGAGCUGUCCAAGAAAGGAGACAAGGGACUUGCCCAAAGCACGAACACUUCAUAAACAAUUUAACAAAUGUAAACUGUGAAAGAGAAAGACAAAUUGUGUGAAUAUGAAAACUAGGGUCUCUGAUGAGCCCAUAGCCUCCAAACUCCUCCCUUCACUGCAGAAUGACAAUACUUCCUUGGAAGGAAAUGAUUCUCAUUUCUGUCAUAAUGUGCUGCUUGUUCUGAGGCCUGGAGGAGCU
rnacentral:lncRNA from 1 species